rnacentral:lncRNA from 1 species
CGCGAAGCGUGAAGCCCACGGAGGUGGGUGGUGAGGGGCAGGGCUGAGGGGAGCCCUAGAGGCAGAGAAGAUGCAGGCCAUCAUGCCCAUUUCACAGACAGAGAAGCCGACAUCCUGAACAGGUGGAUCAGCCUAGAAAAGGAAGCACAACCUUGUGUGACAUUACCAUGGAAGUUUCACUUAGUACGUAUGUGUUUAAUGAAUAUAAUGAAGGAGCAGUUUUAUUCCUAGUGUCAGGUAUGUAAUCACACACCUAUAUGUUUAUUCAUUCUUUUGUUAAAAUCACUAAAUUUUAACAUUCAUCAGAGAAGUUUUCAGUUUUCUAUUGCUGUAUGCCAAAAAGCCUAAAAUAUAGUGGCUUAAAACCAAUAAUUUAUUAUUUCUCAUGAGUUUGUGAGCUAGGAAAUUGGGCAUAGCUCAGCAAGGGUGGUUCUUCUGGUCCACGUGGUGUCACAAAAGUCUCUCAAGCUCAUUAUGCUGGAAGUUGCGG